rnacentral:rRNA from 13 species
AAUAUAAAAAAAGGAGUGAACUGAAACAUCUAAGUAACUCUUAAAAAAAUCAAACGAGAUUCUGUUAGUAGUGGCGAACAAACACAGAAAUGAUUUUUUAAUUUAUCUUGAAUUUUUAACCAUAGAAGGUUUGUGUCCUGUAAAGAUUAAAAUUAAAAUAUUUGAAGUAGGGCAAUUUUUUUUGUCUGAAUAUUGGGGAACCACCCUCAAUACUAAAAAUUUUUGGUGACCGAUAGUGAAAAAGUACCGUGAGGGAAAGGUGAAAAAAGCUCUUUAAGAGUUGAAAAGAUCUGAAACUUGUUAUUAACAAACUGUUGAAAUUUUUUAAAAUAACAGCGUACCUUUUGCAUAAUGGGCCAGUGACUUUAUUUAAAUGGCAAGCUUAAGUAAAAUUAUGGAGGCAUAGAGAAAUCGAAUAUAAAAAGUGUUCAUUAGUCAUUUGAAUAAGACCCGAAACUGAGUGAUCUAACCAUGAGCAGGCUGAAGAUAAACUAGUAAUAGUUGUUGGAGGGCCGAACCCGUGUAUGUAGAAAAAUACUGGGAUGACUUGUGGUUAGGGGUGAAAGGCCAAUCAAACUCAGAGAUAGCUGGUUUUCCGCGAAAUCUAUUUAAGUAGAGCGUUUUUUUUUUUUUAGUGGGGUAGAGCUCUCGAUAAGCUAGGGGGAUUUUUUAUCUUACCAAAUUUAAUGAAACUACGAAUACGCUUAUUAAAAAUUAAAGCAGACAGAUAUUGGAUGCUAAGGUCUUUUAUCAAAAGGGAAACAGCCCAGAUUAAUUGUUAAGGUCUUAAAUAAAUAUUUAAGUGAUGAAUGCAGUAAUUAGACUAAUACAGUCAUUAGGUAGGCUUGGAGGCAGCCAUCUUUUAAAGAAAGCGUAACAGCUCGUUGAUCUAGUUUUUUUGCGCUCAAGAUGUAUAGAGACUAAAAAUAUUAACCGAAACAGUAAACCUAAUUGGUGGUAGCGGAACGUUCUAUAUUUUUAUGAAGAAAUGCUGUAAAGUUUUUUGGAAAAAUUAGAAGUGAGUAUACUGGCAUGAGUAGCGAUAAACGGUGUAAAAACAUCGUCGCCGUAAGUUCAAGGGUUUUGAAGUAAAGCUAAUCUUCUUCAAUAGAAAUCGUAUGAUUUCGUUAUAAGACGGCCCCUAAGGUAGUAAACCAAUGUUUACGCUAAUGGGUAAUUUUUUAUAUUUUUCUAAACACAGUGACAAAAAUUGAGGUUUAUUAUUAAUGUAUUUAAUAGUUUAUUAAAUUUUUCAGGAAAUAGCUAAAAAAAAACCGUACUUUAAUCCGACACAGGUGAACAGGUUGAAUAAACUAAGGCGCUUGAGUGAACUUUGUUGAAGGAACUCGGCAAAAUAAUCCCGUAACUUCGGAAAAAGGGAUAACUUUAUAAGGGCAACCUUAUAAAGUUGGCACAUAAAUGGGGGUAGCAACUGUUUAGUAAAAACACAAGUCUCUGCUAAUUUGUAAAAAGAUGUAUAGGGGCUGACACCUGCCCGGUGCUGUAAAGUAAAUAAAUUGUUGUUUUGGCUUCAAUUAUAAACUCCAGUAAACGGCGGCCGUAACUCUGACGGUCCAAAGGUAGCAAAAUUCCUUGUCGGGUAAGUUCCGACCCGCACGAAAGGCGUAACGAUCAGGGCGCUGUCUCGGAGAGAGGCUCGGCGAAAUAGAAUUGUCUGUGAAGAUGCGGACUACAUACACCCGGACAGAAAGACCCUAUGAAGCUUUACUGUAGCUUGGUAUUGUGCCCGGGCUCUGAAUGCGCAGGAUAGGUGGGAGACGUUGAUCUAGUGCUCGUGGGUGCUAGGGAGUCAAUGGUGAGAUACCACUCUUUCAGAGCUAGGGUUCUAACGUUCACCCGUUAUCCGGGGAGCGGACAGUAUCAGGUGGGCAGUUUGACUGGGGCGGUCGCCUCCUAAAAGGUAACGGAGGCGCGCAAAGGUUUCCUCAGGCUGGUUGGAAAUCAGCCGACGAGUGCAAAAGCAGAAGGAAGCUUGACUGUGAGACCUACAAGUCGAACAGGGACGAAAGUCGGCUUUAGUGAUCCGACGGUUCUGAGUGGAAGGGCCGUCGCUCAACGGAUAAAAGUUACUCUAGGGAUAACAGGCUGAUCUCCCCCAAGAGUUCACAU